rnacentral:rRNA from 1 species
AUGAACGCUAGCGACAGGCUUAACACAUGCAAGUCGAGGGGCAGCACAGGUAGCAAUACCGGGUGGCGACCGGCGCACGGGUGAGUAACGCGUAUGCAACUUACCUAUCAGAGGGGGAUAACCCGGCGAAAGUCGGACUAAUACCGCAUGAAGCAGGGGCCCCGCAUGGGGAUAUUUGCUAAAGAUUCAUCGCUGAUAGAUAGGCAUGCGUUCCAUUAGGCAGUUGCUGGGUAACGGCCCACCAAGCCGACGAUGGAUAGGGGUUCUGAGAGGAAGGUCCCCCACAUUGGUACUGAGACACGGACCAAACUCCUACGGGAGGCAGCAGUGAGGAAUAUUGGUCAAUGGCCGAGAGGCUGAACCAGCCAAGUCGCGUGAGGGAUGAAGGUUCUAUGGAUCGUAAACCUCUUUUAUAAGGGAAUAAAGUGCGGGACGUGUCCCGUUUUGUAUGUACCUUAUGAAUAAGGAUCGGCUAACUCCGUGCCAGCAGCCGCGGUAAUACGGAGGAUCCGAGCGUUAUCCGGAUUUAUUGGGUUUAAAGGGUGCGUAGGCGGCCUUUUAAGUCAGCGGUGAAAGUCUGUGGCUCAACCAUAGAAUUGCCGUUGAAACUGGGGGGCUUGAGUAUGUUUGAGGCAGGCGGAAUGCGUGGUGUAGCGGUGAAAUGCAUAGAUAUCACGCAGAACCCCGAUUGCGAAGGCAGCCUGCCAAGCCAUGACUGACGCUGAUGCACGAAAGCGUGGGGAUCAAACAGGAUUAGAUACCCUGGUAGUCCACGCAGUAAACGAUGAUCACUAGCUGUUUGCGAUACACUGUAAGCGGCACAGCGAAAGCGUUAAGUGAUCCACCUGGGGAGUACGCCGGCAACGGUGAAACUCAAAGGAAUUGACGGGGGCCCGCACAAGCGGAGGAACAUGUGGUUUAAUUCGAUGAUACGCGAGGAACCUUACCCGGGUUUGAACGCAUUCGGACCGAGGUGGAAACACCUUUUCUAGCAAUAGCCGUUUGCGAGGUGCUGCAUGGUUGUCGUCAGCUCGUGCCGUGAGGUGUCGGCUUAAGUGCCAUAACGAGCGCAACCCUUGCCACUAGUUACUAACAGGUAAAGCUGAGGACUCUGGUGGGACUGCCAGCGUAAGCUGCGAGGAAGGCGGGGAUGACGUCAAAUCAGCACGGCCCUUACAUCCGGGGCGACACACGUGUUACAAUGGCGUGGACAAAGGGAAGCCACCUGGCGACAGGGAGCGAAUCCCCAAACCACGUCUCAGUUCGGAUCGGAGUCUGCAACCCGACUCCGUGAAGCUGGAAUCGCUAGUAAUCGCGCAUCAGCCAUGGCGCGGUGAAUACGUUCCCGGGCCUUGUACACACCGCCCGUCAAGCCAUGGGAGCCGGGGGUACCUGAAGUCCGUAACCGCGAGGAUCGGCCUAGGGUAAAACUGGUGACUGGGGCU